GACGAACGCUGGCGGCGUGCCUAAUACAUGCAAGUCGAGCGAGACUCUUCGGAGUCUAGCGGCGGACGGGUGAGUAACACGUGGGCAACCUGCCUGUAAGACUGGGAUAACACCGGGAAACCGGUGCUAAUACCGGAUAAUCCUUUUCCUCUCAUGAGGGAAAGCUGAAAGUCGGUUUCGGCUGACACUUACAGAUGGGCCCGCGGCGCAUUAGCUAGUUGGUGAGGUAACGGCUCACCAAGGCGACGAUGCGUAGCCGACCUGAGAGGGUGGUCGGCCACGCUGGGACUGAGACACGGCCCAGACUCCUACGGGAGGCAGCAGUAGGGAAUCUUCCACAAUGGACGAAAGUCUGAUGGAGCAACGCCGCGUGAGCGAUGAAGGCCUUCGGGUCGUAAAGCUCUGUUGUUAGGGAAGAACAAGUACCGGAGUAACUGCCGGUACCUUGACGGUACCUAACCAGAAAGCCACGGCUAACUACGUGCCAGCCGCCGCCGUAACAC
rnacentral:rRNA from 1 species